UACGUAGGAUGCAAGCGUUGUCCGGAAUUAUUGGGCGUAAAGAGCGCGCAGGCGGUAUGACAAGUCAGAUGUGAAAGAGGCCGGCUUAACCGGCAAGGGUCAUUUGAAACUGUCAGACUAGAGUGCAGCAGAGGAUAGUGGAAUUCCCGGUGUAGUGGUGAAAUGCGUAGAUAUCGGGAGGAACACCAGUGGCGAAGGCGACUAUCUGGGCUGCAACUGACGCUGAGACGCGAAAGCGUGGGGAGCAAACAGG
rnacentral:rRNA from 1 species